UACAAUUCAUUUAUAAAUAUCUAACUAACUAUAGCCUACUUCACAGUUUAAUUACAUCAAAUACAUUUCGUGUGUGUAAGAUCUUCCUUCGAAUUCAGAGCAUAAUAUUUACCCGCAAUUUCUGGUUCUUAUUGAGUGUGCAAGGCUGUUGAAAAUAUGCAUUCUGGAGUUGUGUCAAGUGGUGGGAGAUAUUGUACGGAUCGCGCUGAGUCGGUUACAUAACAGGCCCUGUUCCAUCCCAGCCAUUGUUCUGGCAGAGAGCUGCUCUGAUUGUGUCAAACAGCCCCCAGCUCUCUGCCUCUUUCUAGUGACUAAGAUGCUCCAGUUCCUACCCUGCCUCGUGCUUUCCUCAUCCAGUCUUUGCCAUGGGACAGAGAGCAACUUGCAUAAUUAUAGUUACAGAUUGUGUAAGUCUUCCUCCUAGGUAUACAUGUCAAGCCAUUCUUCUUUGGAAGUCGGUCUGAUCAGCACAUGUGAGGUCAUGCUUACUGAACUGAUGUCCUCAGUUAGAUGGCAGGCCCAGAUCUGACUGUUGAGUUGCUAGAGCGCGAUGAGUCAAGGAAAUCCCUGCUGACAACGCCAGCUCCAACCCCGGACAAUGGUUGGCCAGCCAGAGGCACAGGUAAGGCUCCAAAAAUGACCUUGUUUCUUUAACUCUACCCAGUUACCUGUUUUUUUUUUUUUUUUUACAAAGUAUUUACCUGUGGUGGAUAUCAUCACUACGAACCCCAUUUCUGAGAGAUUGAAAGGUGUUCACAAAACAUCCAACCAGAAGAAACACACAUACAUUCUCAUCAUUUCAAAGCAAGCCAAGAGGCUUCUCCCUGUAUUUCUCAAUAAAACGAAAAUUCACCUGAAAAUCAGACAACAAA